UUUUUAGUGUAAUUAUGUUCCAUGGAAUAUUUGGAACAUAUUUAUUCUAACA
rnacentral:pre_miRNA from 1 species